rnacentral:rRNA from 1 species
UGACGAGCGGCGGACGGGUGAGUAAUGUCUGGGAAACUGCCUGAUGGAGGGGGAUAACUACUGGAAACGGUAGCUAAUACCGCAUAACGUCGCAAGACCAAAGUGGGGGACCUUCGGGCCUCAUGCCAUCAGAUGUGCCCAGAUGGGAUUAGCUGGUAGGUGGGGUAACGGCUCACCUAGGCGACGAUCCCUAGCUGGUCUGAGAGGAUGACCAGCCACACUGGAACUGAGACACGGUCCAGACUCCUACGGGAGGCAGCAGUGGGGAAUAUUGCACAAUGGGCGCAAGCCUGAUGCAGCCAUGCCGCGUGUGUGAAGAAGGCCUUCGGGUUGUAAAGCACUUUCAGCGGGGAGGAAGGCGGUGAGGUUAAUAACCUCAUCGAUUGACGUUACCCGCAGAAGAAGCACCGGCUAACUCCGUGCCAGCAGCCGCGGUAAUACGGAGGGUGCAAGCGUUAAUCGGAAUUACUGGGCGUAAAGCGCACGCAGGCGGUCUGUCAAGUCGGAUGUGAAAUCCCCGGGCUCAACCUGGGAACUGCAUUCGAAACUGGCAGGCUAGAGUCUUGUAGAGGGGGGUAGAAUUCCAGGUGUAGCGGUGAAAUGCGUAGAGAUCUGGAGGAAUACCGGUGGCGAAGGCGGCCCCCUGGACAAAGACUGACGCUCAGGUGCGAAAGCGUGGGGAGCAAACAGGAUUAGAUACCCUGGUAGUCCACGCUGUAAACGAUGUCGAUUUGGAGGUUGUGCCCUUGAGGCGUGGCUUCCGGAGCUAACGCGUUAAAUCGACCGCCUGGGGAGUACGGCCGCAAGGUUAAAACUCAAAUGAAUUGACGGGGGCCCGCACAAGCGGUGGAGCAUGUGGUUUAAUUCGAUGCAACGCGAAGAACCUUACCUGGUCUUGACAUCCACAGAACUUUCCAGAGAUGGAUUGGUGCCUUCGGGAACUGUGAGACAGGUGCUGCAUGGCUGUCGUCAGCUCGUGUUGUGAAAUGUUGGGUUAAGUCCCGCAACGAGCGCAACCCUUAUCCUUUGUUGCCAGCGGUCCGGCCGGGAACUCAAAGGAGACUGCCAGUGAUAAACUGGAGGAAGGUGGGGAUGACGUCAAGUCAUCAUGGCCCUUACGACCAGGGCUACACACGUGCUACAAUGGCAUAUACAAAGAGAAGCGACCUCGCGAGAGCAAGCGGACCUCAUAAAGUAUGUCGUAGUCCGGAUUGGAGUCUGCAACUCGACUCCAUGAAGUCGGAAUCGCUAGUAAUCGUAGAUCAGAAUGCUACGGUGAAUACGUUCCCGGGCCUUGUACACACCGCCCGUCACACCAUGGGAGUGGGUUGCAAAAGAAGUAGGUAGCUUAACCUUCGGGAGGGCGCUUACCACUUUGUGAUUCAUGACUGGGGUGAAGUCGUAACAAGGUAACCGUAGGGGAACCUGCGGUUGGAUCACCUCCUUA